CUCCAGUGUGGAAAUUACUGCCCUGAGUGCCCAGAUGACCACAGGCACCACUGUUGCCUCCACCUUCCAGGCCUCUCUAGCUCCUCUUUGAGCCCUUGGUACUUGUCUAGUUUCUCAUGUUCCUUCUUCCUGACAUUAGUAUUGCUUGGGAUGGCGACAGCUAUCACAAUGGCUUUCCUCUACUGUUUGUCUACGAUUACAGUGUCUGGUUGGUUGGCCAAUGCUAUUUUGUCGGUCUGUAUCUGGGAGUCCCAUAGGGUCUUGGCUCGGUCACCUGGGGACUGGGGGUUUCCAGUCUAUAUUCUGCACAGAUGUUCCUGUACACCAGGGGUUCCCAACCUUUUUUAAAUCAAGAUCUACUUUAAACAUUUGAAGUCUGUUGCGAUCUACUUUUAUAAACACAGACAUUCAUAGUGCUUGCCAACAUCCUAUCAGUGACUGGUGCACCAUCAGUUUUGAUGGAGAUCAGCUUAAAGAGGGACAGUUUGUUCGUUUUAACAAAGUCCAUGAAAGUGGCACAUCCACCACGUCAGUUGACUCGUCAAACUGGAGGGAGAAACACUCACAUCCAUCGAUGUCCUUCUUCAGCUGUGUUUCAACAUCCUCUGCCAUUCCUUCGCACCGUCGUGUGACAGUAUUCCGCGAUAACUGCAUGUCCUUGAUAGUGGAGACGAUCUCCAUUUUGUUCUUAGUCACCAAAAAGUGUGUCCGCGGCUUCAAUGAAGGCUUCCUUAACAACAUUACCGUCCUUGAAAGACUUCUUGUGUUUAGCAAGCACGCAAUAAACACGGUAAGAUGCUAUGGUAGCAGCCUUACCCUUGGUGUUGGGUCUGGUAAAAACAGACUGCUGGGCUGCAAGCUGCGUCUUCAACUCCCGCACUUUCUGCAAGCAUAGCUCGAAUUUAGCAGGGAAGUCUGUCUCAUGUAUUUUUUGUGCAGUGUCUUAAAAUGCCUUUCCAGAUUUCCCGUCUUUGGUAUAGCCACGCUGGCUUUGCAGAUGAGACAGAUGGUCUUCGAGUUUGAGUGGACAAAAAAAUAAUCUUCUUUCCACUCUGGGAGAAAAUUAUAAGUUUUCGGUCUUUUUGCUCCGGCCAUUUCUCUAUCGCUGCUAGCUAAGUAAACAGCGGCUGCAGCACACACGUGUUGUGACCUGACCUUACAGCCGCAACGGAGAGGGGGCGUGGUACUGGCGUGGCACAGCCAUGAGAAAAAUAGCCAAUUAACGUUACCAAAAAGUUGAUCGGCUACAAGACUUUUUUUUUUAACGCAGUCAAGACUACUUUUUGCGAUCGACUAAGAAUAAGUCUGUGAUCUACCUUUGGGCACCCCAGCUGUACACUAUACCGGCUGGUUAGUUGUAUGCUUCUCCUGUCAGCAUCUUACAUCCUGCUGUUAGGUGUUAGACUGUUUCAGCACCCUAUUUGCAUCGCCUGCACCUGGAAUCUUAAGAAUAAGAAUACAUUUAUUAUUCCCCGAUGGAAAAUUCAAUUGUCUGUCAUCUCAUAUGUCAUGUCUCUAAAAGUCAUCUACUAUUUACAGAAGAGUUGUAAAGUCUGAUGGCUGUUGGUACAAAAGAUCCUCUGAAUCUUUCUGUCCUGCAGCAAAGAGAGAGGAGCCGUCCACCACCAUUGGCCCUUUGUUCUAUUAAGGUGUUGUGAAGUGGGUGAUCCAUGUUCUCUAGAAUCCACUGAGUCCAGCUUGAGUCCAACCACAGGGCCAGCCUUUUCC
rnacentral:lncRNA from 1 species